rnacentral:misc_RNA from 1 species
AAGUCGUAACAAGGUUUCCGUAGGUGAACCUGCGGAAGGAUCAUUAUCGUGUUUUUUUCCUCUUUUUGAGGAAAACAAACGUAUUCACCCAAUCGUGAACUUGUUCCUGGAGAAAGGUGGCGUCAAAAACUGCCGAUUUCCAAUUUAUUUUUCAUAACUUUAUUCACCACUUGUAUUUCAUGUGCUAAACUAAAAUCUUGGAUGAUCUUCUCUUCAUUGAGAGUUUCUGAAAAGAAAGUACGAAAUUGCUGAACAACUCUUAGCAACGGAUAUCUUGGUUCUC